AUUGAACGCUGGCGGCAUGCUUUACACAUGCAAGUCGAGCGGUAACAGGCCUUCGGGUGCUGACGAGUGGCGCACGGGUGCGUAAUGCAUCGGAACGUACCCAGAGGUGGGGGAUAACGCAGCGAAAGCUGUGCUAAUACCGCAUGUGAUCUGAGGAUGAAAGCGGGGGACCGAGCAGCAAUGUUUGGCCUCGCGCCUUUGGAGCGGCCGAUGUCGGAUUAGCUAGUUGGUGGGGUAAAGGCCUACCAAGGCGACGAUCCGUAGCUGGUCUGAGAGGACGACCAGCCACACUGGGACUGAGACACGGCCCAGACUCCUACGGGAGGCAGCAGUGGGGAAUGUUGGACAAUGGGCGCAAGCCUGAUCCAGCAAUGCCGCGUGCGGGAAGAAGGCCUUCGGGUUGUAAACCGCUUUUGGCAGGAACGAAACGGUGUCCGCUAAUACCGGGCGCUAAUGACGGUACCUGCAGAAUAAGCACCGGCUAACUACGUG
rnacentral:rRNA from 1 species